UAGGAAAGCAAUGGAGGCCCAAACAAUCAUCACCCAAGAAUUGAAACGGUUCGAGGCAUGGAGGGACUCGCUGGAGACUGUUCCGACUAUCAAGAAGCUGAGGUCCUACGCCGACAGGAUCAGGGCUUCGGAGCUUGAGAAGUGCCUCCAGAAGAUCGGCGAAGACGCCCUCACCAAGAAGAUGAGAAGAUCCAUCGAGGAGCUCAGCACCGGCAUCGUGAACAAGCUUCUCCACGGCCCAUUGCAGCACCUGAGAUGUGACGGCAGCGACAGCCGCACCCUCGAUGAGACGCUGGAGAACAUGCACGCCCUCAACAGGAUGUUCAGCCUCGACACCGAGAAGGCGAUCAUUGAGCAGAAGAUCAAGGCGAAGGUGGAGAAGUCCCAGAACUGAG
rnacentral:misc_RNA from 1 species